GACGAACGCUGGCGACGUGCCUAAUACAUGCAAGUCGAACGAGAGCAACCGGUGCUUGCACUGGUCAAUCUAGUGGCGAACGGGUGAGUAACACGUGGGUAACCUGCCCAUCAGAGGGGGAUAACAUCCGGAAACGGAUGCUAAAACCGCAUAGGUCUUCGAACCGCAUGGUUUGAAGAGGAAAAGAGGCGCAAGCUUCUGCUGAUGGAUGGACCCGCGGUGCAUUAGCUAGUUGGUGAGGUAACGGCUCACCAAGGCCGUGAUGCAUAGCCGACCUGAGAGGGUGAUCGGCCACAUUGGGACUGAGACACGGCCCAAACUCCUACGGGAGGCAGCAGUAGGGAAUCUUCCGCAAUGGACGCAAGUCUGACGGAGCAACGCCGCGUGAGUGAAGAAGGUUUUCGGAUCGUAAAACUCUGUUGUUGGAGAAGAACAAGUGCUAGAGUAACUGUUAGCGCCUUGACGGUAUCUAACCAGAAAGCCACGGCUAACUACGUG
rnacentral:rRNA from 1 species